rnacentral:tRNA from 1 species
CCCCAACUACCUCUGUUGGUAAAGCAUGAGACUCACAAUCUCAGGGUAGUGGGUUCGUGUCCCACGUCGGGAG